AACGAACGCUGGCGGCAUGCCUAACACAUGCAAGUCGAACGAGACCUUCGGGUCUAGUGGCGCACGGGUGCGUAACGCGUGGGAACCUGCCCUUAGGUUCGGAAUAACUCCCCGAAAGGGGUGCUAAUACCGGAUAAUGUCUUCGGACCAAAGAUUUAUCGCCUUUGGAUGGGCCCGCGUUGGAUUAGCUAGUUGGUAGGGUAAAAGCCUACCAAGGCGACGAUCCAUAGCUGGUCGGAGAGGAAGAUCAGCCACACUGGGACUGAGACGCGGCCCAGACUCCUACGGGAGGCAGCAGUGGGGAAUAUUGGACAAUGGGCGAAAGCCUGAUCCAGCACUGCCGCGUGAGUGAUGAAGGCCUUAGGGUUGUAAAGCUCUUUUACCCGGGAUGAUAAUGACGGUACCGGGAGAAUAAGCUCCGGCUAACUCCGUG
rnacentral:rRNA from 1 species